GAUGAAGAACGUAGCGAAAUGCGAUAAGUAGUGUGAAUUGCAGAAUUCCGUGAAUCAUCGAAUCUUUGAACGCACAUUGCGCCCCUUGGUAUUCCAUGGGGCAUGCCUGUUCGAGCGUCAUUUGUACCUUCAAGCUCUGCUUGGUGUUGGGUGUUUGUCUCGCCUCUGCGUGUAGACUCGCCUCAAAACAAUUGGCAGCCGGCGUAUUGAUUUCGGAGCGCAGUACAUCUCGCGCUUUGCACUCAUAACGACGACGUCCAAAAGUACAUUUUUACACUCUUGACCUCGGAUCAGGUAGGGAUACCCGCUGAACUUAAGCAUAUCAAUAAGCGGAGA
rnacentral:misc_RNA from 1 species